GUUGAGGUAGUGAGGCGGUGGUGGCGAUGGUGGUGAAGGUGGCGGUGGUAGCGAGCCAAUAGUAUUUGUGAUAUAUAAUGGUUGUUUUAAUAUUAAUAAUAUUAAUAUUAAUAAUAUUACUCUAAAAAAUAAAAUUUGCAGGAUAGUACAAAUACAAUAUAUAUGCAGCAGUAGCAGUUGAGGUAGUGAGGCGGUGGUGGCGAUGGUGGCGGUGGUGGCAAAGGUGGCGGUGGUAGCAAGCCAAUAGUAUUUGUGAUAUAUAAUGGUUGUUUUAAUAUUAAUAUUACUCUAAAAAAAUAAAAUUUGCAGGAUAGUACAAAUACAAUAUAUAUAUGCAGCAGUAGCAGUUGAGGUAGUGAGGCGGUGGUGGCGAUGGUGGCGAAGGUGACGGUGGUAGCAAGCCAAUAGUAUUUGUGAUAUAUAAUGGUUGUUUUGAUAUUAAUAAUAUUGCUCUAAAAAAAUAAAAUUUGCAGGAUAGUACAAUAUAUAUGCAGCAGUAGCAGUUGAGGUAGUGAGGCGGUGGUGGCAGUGGUGGCGAUGGUGGCGGUGGUGGCGGUGGUAGCAAGCCAAUAAUAUUUGUGAUAUAUAAUGGUUGUUUUAAUAUUAAUAAUAUUACUCUAAAAAAAUAAAAUUUGCAGGAUAGUACAAUAUAUAUGCAGC